rnacentral:rRNA from 1 species
GACGAACGCUGGCGGCGUGCCUAAUACAUGCAAGUCGAACGCAGUGGGGACGGGUGAGUAACACGUGGGUAACCUCCCAUCAGAGGGGAUAACACUUGGAAACAGGUGCUAAACCGAUACUGAUGGAUGGACCCGCGGUGCAUUAGCUAGUUGGGGAGGUAACGGCUCCCCAAGGCCACGAUGCAUGGCCGACCGGGGAGGGUGAUGGGCCAAAUGGGGCCUGGGAAAGGGCCCCGACUCCUACGGGAGGCAGCAGUAGGAAAUCUUCGGCAAUGGACGAAAGUCGGACCGAGAAACGCGGCGUGAGUGAAGAAGGUUUUGGGAUCGUAAAACUCUGUUGUUAGAGAAGCGGUAUCUAACCAGAAAGCCACGGCUAACUACGUGCCAGCAGCCGCGGUAAUUC